GAUUUUGCACUAGAAGAGACAUAGUGUCCCUCUUCCACAGCCUGUAAAUAGCUGUAAAUAGAUGUUAUCUUCAUGCUCUAGAGAAGGGGGAUCGGGGGACCCCAAAGUUAAGAAAAAAUCAUCUUUUGUCCGGGUUCCCAGCUGCUGCUCGUCUCUCUGUUUCUCUCUCCACCGUGGCCUCCUUCCAUAACCACCAGAACCACCGACAGCACCGCCACAGCCAGAGAAUAAACGGCGAAGAAUAGGAUAAACACAGGGAGGGGGGCAGAGGAGGAGAAAUGUUUUGGAGAAAAGAGGGAAGCAAGCUGAAGAAACGGGGGAGAAAAAGAAAAAAAAGGAAACAGAGAGGGGAGCUGAAUAAAAAAAAACACAGACACGGGGAAACAGAGAUAAGAAACCAGACGAAACAGAGGAGAAAGAGAAAAGCAGAAGAGAGGAGAGGAAGACCACUGCAGCAAACACCAUCGACUCCGCCAUUGCUGUUCCUCCCCAUCGCCACUGCUGCAACACUGUGAAGAAGAAGAAAAACAGCAGCACUGGUUGUCACAACCACUGUGCUGAGACUCCGCAAUUGUUGUUCCUCCCCAUCGCCACCGCAGCAACUCCACCUGAGCCAUCGUCAAAAAGGAAAAAAAAAGAGGACGAAGAGACAGAGAAGCAGGAGACAGAAACGGGGAGAAGAAGAAACACAGAAAAAAAAAACACAGAACAGAGAAAGGGCAGAACCGUCGUCUGGCAUCGCCAUCCACUGCAAGCACACCGCCUGACCGCCGCCGUUAGCCUCCGCUACCACCACCAACAGCACUGCCUCGCCACUCCAGGACAGGGGUUUGCGGCGUCGUAGGAGGAGUGCCCUGCACUGUAUUAUUACCUACAUGCCUUUUAAGCUGGGAUACGUGGAACACUAGGUGAAUCAAAGUUGUAGGAGGUAGAUCAAGCUUAUAGGCCACACUUCCUAUUUUGGCAAUCACCUGGUAUGGCCUGUAAUACUUCGUAGCUAGUUUUUAUGAGGAUCUAUGUGUUGCUGACUGUUUCUGGUAUGGUUGAAGCUUGAGGUAGACAUAGUCAUUAACUUCAAAA